CCUACUGGAGACAUCAUUGAGGCAUCUUGGUCAAUGGGCGCGAGCCUGAACCAGCCAAGUAGCGUGAAGUCUUCCUUCCCUCCUUUUUUUCCCCUUCUUUUCUCCCUUCCUCCCUUUCUUCCCUUUUGCCUUUUUGUAUGUACUUUAUGAAUAAGGAUCGGCUAACUCCGUGCCAGAAUCCUCUGUAAUACGGAGUAUCCGAUCGUUAUCCGGAUUUAUUGGGUUUAAAGGGAGCGUAGAUGGGUUGUUAAGUCAGUUGUGAAAGUUUGCGGAUCAACCGUAAAAUUGCAAGUGAUACUGGCAGUCUUGAGUACAGUUGAGGUAGGCGGAAUUCGUGGUGUAGCGGUGAAAUGCUUAGAGAUCACGAAGAACUCCGAUUGCGAAGGCAGCUUACUAAACUGCAAAUGACAUUGAUGCUCGAAAGUGGGGGGAUCAAACAGGAUGAGAGAAAAGGGGAGUC
rnacentral:rRNA from 1 species